UAAUUCCUUCAUAAUUAAUCCAGUAUGUAAUUUCGUUCUGUAGAUGAAACCAAUGUAAGUCAAGAUGGAAGUGAAAAAAUCCAUUGCAUGUUCUCCAUCAGCACGAGUGACAGAUUAAUUAGCAGGUGCCCUUGGUGGAGGGUUCACCUACCCGUGCUGCCCAGGCAGGCUAUGCAGGCACAAACAGACGCACGACUUGCAAAGCUGAGCACCAGAUGACUAUUAGCAGGGUACUACCAGGGGAGUGGUGGAAACAACAAAGGAAUAACAUCAGGUUCGGGUGAAAUACAGCCGCAUGUGUUGGAUGAUGCUACAACUAGGCACAAUAACGUCAGGUUGGUGCAUAUCCAAGCAUCAUGCAUCUAACUGCUUUUGUUUCCUUUUUCUUAGUGUUUGUAUGUUUGAAAAUAGUACAUGAAAAAAAAUGAGAGUUUCGGCAGCCGACCUAACUGAUUUGGUAGCCCUUUAUGCGAUUCCUAAAUUCUUAGAUGCAUUGUUGAUCUGAUUUCCAAGUUUGACCAUGACAACAAAUACGUAAUGCAAUGCGACCAUAAGAAAGCAUCUAAGCUAAACAGCUUUAUAUAACGAUAGAUUAGACUUACUUCCUUUUGAAGAUCUUGAUUUUUCUUGAACUGGAUGUAUCGCUUUAUCUUUGUUUGUCACAGUACAAUGCAGUUAGCAACAAAGUGCUUUUUAUUUGGAUAAGUUGUU
rnacentral:lncRNA from 1 species